rnacentral:rRNA from 1 species
CAUGCAUGUCUAAGUAUAAGCAAUUAUACCGCGAAACUGCGAAUGGCUCAUUAAAUCAGUUAUCGUUUAUUUGAUAGUACCUUACUACUUGGAUAACCGUGGUAAUUCUAGAGCUAAUACAUGCUAAAAAUCCCGACUUCGGAAGGGAUGUAUUUAUUAGAUUAAAAACCAAUGCCCUUCGGGGCUUCCUGGUGAUUCAUGAUAACUUCUCGAAUCGCAUGGCCUUGCGCCGGCGAUGGUUCAUUCAAAUUUCUGCCCUAUCAACUUUCGACGGCUGGGUAUUGGCCAGCCAUGGUGACAACGGGUAACGGAGGGUUAGGGCUCGACCCCGGAGAAGGAGCCUGAGAAACGGCUACUACAUCCAAGGAAGGCAGCAGGCGCGCAAAUUACCCAAUCCCGACACGGGGAGGUAGUGACAAUAAAUACUGAUACAGGGCUCUUUUGGGUCUUGUAAUUGGAAUGAGUACAAUUUAAAUCCCUUAACGAGGAACAAUUGGAGGGCAAGUCUGGUGCCAGCAGCCGCGGUAAUUCCAGCUCCAAUAGCGUAUAUUAAAGUUGUUGCAGUUAAAAAGCUCGUAGUUGAACCUUGGGCCUGGCUGGCCGGUCCGCCUCACCGCGUGCACUGGUCCGGCCGGGCCUUUCCCUCUGGGGAACCGCAUGCCCUUCACUGGGUGUGUCGGGGAACCAGGACUUUUACUUUGAAAAAAUUAGAGUGUUCAAAGCAGGCCUAUGCUCGAAUACAUUAGCAUGGAAUAAUAAAAUAGGACGUGCGGUUCUAUUUUGUUGGUUUCUAGGACCGCCGUAAUGAUUAAUAGGGACAGUCGGGGGCAUCAGUAUUCAAUUGUCAGAGGUGAAAUUCUUGGAUUUAUUGAAGACUAACUACUGCGAAAGCAUUUGCCAAGGAUGUUUUCAUUAAUCAGGAACGAAAGUUAGGGGAUCGAAGACGAUCAGAUACCGUCGUAGUCUUAACCAUAAACUAUGCCGACUAGGGAUCGGACGAUGUUAUUCUUUGACUCGUUCGGCACCUUACGCGAAAGCAC